rnacentral:rRNA from 1 species
CAGGAUGUGCUUGCACAUCGCUGACGAGUGGCGGACGGGUGAGUAAUGCUUGGGAACUUGCCUUUGCGAGGGGGAUAACAGUUGGAAACGACUGCUAAUACCGCAUAAUGUCUUCGGACCAAACGGGGCUUCGGCUCCGGCGCAGAGAGAGGCCCAAGUGAGAUUAGCUAGUUGGUAAGGUAAAGGCUUACCAAGGCGACGAUCUCUAGCUGUUCUGAGAGGAAGAUCAGCCACACUGGGACUGAGACACGGCCCAGACUCCUACGGGAGGCAGCAGUGGGGAAUAUUGCACAAUGGGGGGAACCCUGAUGCAGCCAUGCCGCGUGUGUGAAGAAGGCCUUCGGGUUGUAAAGCACUUUCAGUUGUGAGGAAAAGUUGGUAGUUAAUACCUGCCAGCCGUGACGUUAACAACAGAAGAAGCACCGGCUAACUCCGUGCCAGCAGCCGCGGUAAUACGGAGGGUGCGAGCGUUAAUCGGAAUUACUGGGCGUAAAGCGCACGCAGGCGGUUUGUUAAGCUAGAUGUGAAAGCCCCGGGCUCAACCUGGGAUGGUCAUUUAGAACUGGCAGACUAGAGUCUUGGAGAGGGGAGUGGAAUUCCAGGUGUAGCGGUGAAAUGCGUAGAUAUCUGGGAGGAACAUCAGUGGCGAAGGCGACUCCCUGGCC